GCAGCCGCGGUAAUACGGAAGGUCCGGGCGUUAUCCGGAUUUAUUGGGUUUAAAGGGAGCGUAGGCCGUUUUUUAAGCGUGUUGUGAAAUGCCGCGGCUCAACCGUGGCACUGCAGCGCGAACUGGAUGACUUGAGUGCGCGGGAGGUAGGCGGAAUUCGUGGUGUAGCGGUGAAAUGCUUAGAUAUCACGAAGAACUCCGAUUGCGAAGGCAGCUUACCGUAGCGUUACUGACGCUGAAGCUCGAAAGUGCGGGUAUCGAACAGGAUUAGAUACCCC
rnacentral:rRNA from 1 species